rnacentral:rRNA from 1 species
UACAGAGGUCUCAAGCGUUGUUCGGAUUCAUUGGGCGUAAAGGGUGUGUAGGUGGCGCGCUAAGUCGGGUGUGAAAUUUCGGAGCUUAACUCCGAAACUGCAUUCGAUACUGGCGUGCUUGAGGACUGGAGAGGAGACUGGAAUUCAUGGUGUAGCAGUGAAAUGCGUAGAGAUCAUGAGGAAGACCAGUGGCGAAGGCGACUGCCUGGACCAGCACUGACACUGAGGCACGAAAGCGUGGGGAGCAAACAGG